rnacentral:rRNA from 1 species
GAUGAACGCUGGCGGCGUGCUUAACACAUGCAAGUCGAACGAUGAAAGCGGGAGCUUGCUCCUGCUGGAUUAGUGGCGAACGGGUGAGUAACACGUGAGUAACCUGCCCUUGACUCUGGGAUAAGCGUUGGAAACGACGUCUAAUACCGGAUACGACCUUCGGAGGCAUCUCCUGGGGGUGGAAAGAAUUCGGUCAAGGAUGGACUCGCGGCCUAUCAGCUAGUUGGUGAGGUAAUGGCUCACCAAGGCGACGACGGGUAGCCGGCCUGAGAGGGUGACCGGCCACACUGGGACUGAGACACGGGCCCAGACUCCCUACGGGAGGCAGCAGUGGGGAAUAUUGCACAAUGGGCGCAAGCCUGAUGCAGCAACGCCGCGUGAGGGACGACGGCCUUCGGU